CUGCUGCCUUCCGUAGGAGUCUGGUCCGUGUCUCAGUACCAGUGUGGGGGGCCUUCCUCUCAGAACCCCUACGCAUCGUCGCCUCGGUGGGCCGUUACCCCGCCGACUAGCUAAUGCGCCGCAUGCCCAUCCGUGGCCGGGAUUGCUCCCUUUGGCGGCCUUGGGAUGUCCCUAGGCCGCGUUACGCGGUAUUAGACGGGUUUCCCCCGCUUAUCCCCCUGCCACGGGCAGGUUGCAUACGUGUUACUCACCCGUGCGCCGGUCGCCGGCAACGG
rnacentral:rRNA from 1 species